rnacentral:rRNA from 1 species
UACGUAGGGUGCGAGCGUUGCCCGGAUUUAUUGGGCGUAAAGGGCGCGCAGGCGGCCCGCCAAGUCCCGCGUGAAAUCGCCCGGCUCAACCGGGCGGGGUCGUGGGAGACUGGCGGGCUGGAGCAAGGGAGGGGGCAGUGGAAUUCCCGGGUGUAGUGGUGGAAUGCGUAGAUAUCGGGAGGAACACCAGUGGCGAAGGCGGCUGCCUGGACCUUUGCUGACGCUGAGGCGCGAAAGCGUGGGGAGCGAUCCGGAUUGAGACUACCCGUG